CGUCCGAUUAGCUAGUUGGUGAGGUAACGGCUCACCAAGGCGACGAUCUGUAGCCGGCCUGAGAGGGCGGACGGCCACACUGGGACUGAGACACGGCCCAGACUCCUACGGGAGGCAGUUGUGGGGAAUUGUUCGCAAUGGGCGCAAGCCUGACGACGCAACG
rnacentral:rRNA from 1 species